rnacentral:lncRNA from 1 species
AUGGGCUAUUUCUGGGCCACCCGGCUGAGUAAUGGAAUGAGUUGUGCUGAGAUUUUGGGCGGGUCGGUGCCUCUGCCCCGUGAGUCACCCGCGGGCAGGGCUCGAGGCGCUGCUGGGGCCCCGCUGCUCAGGGUGGGUGCUGGCCCCGGCCCCAGCCCUGUCCCUGUCAGCUCCUGCUGGGGGCCGUGGGGGGGGGCCGGGCUGCGCAGCCCCUCUCCGCUGGGAGCCGGCAGCCCCCAGCGCGCCGCGUGGCUGUGUGCGGAUCAGAUCUCAGUCAGAUAUCCUGCGGGCUCGGCACGGGCAGACCUCGUCUCCCUGUCUGGACGCGGGCUGCCUGCCUCCGCUGCUGCUCUCUGUGCCUUGUGCUGCGGAUGUGUCUCCCCCUGCCUUGUACUGGGUAGAUACCAGCACUUCCCACAGCACCUUUCUUCCUCCAUCACUCUGAGGUGUGGGAUACCAAAGCAGCAAAUCCCAUUUUACUGUGGGCAAAGGCAUUUUCUAGUAGAUAUUUUUGCCCACCAGCUUUCCUUUUCCUGUGCUGUGGAGAUGGUGGCAGGUGAGUGGACGAGUCUUUGCCCAGAUGAGAAGGCUGGUUUGCAACAGGGGGGGUGCAUUUCUUGUAUCCCAAGGGAUAUGCCACCCUUGAGCCCCCCCUCCCCGAGGGCAGGAGUCAGCAGACUGCUCCAUCCCUUCCCUGGCUCCAUACCUCAAACGUGGUGCCUCCUCCUGGUGCCCUCCCCGGCUGGUUGCCCAUGCGUGGGGCCGGGGGGGUUCCUGGCCCAGCUGGGGAGCCGUGGGGCGGCAGGAGGAGGAGGAGGAGGGCAGGGGGACGUGGGGUGUGAGCCGCGCCGGGGGGCUCCCCUCAGAGCUCAGCCUGGCCAAGGAGCCUGCUGGGCACUUCGGGUGCCUUCUUCAGCUUCGGCGGUGCACAAACGUGCUCGCCCCGUGCUGGGGCACGCUGCUCACCGGGAUGAGAGUUUUGCGUGUGAGGCUCUGGUGGAGGAUUGCUGGAUCCUGCCGGGCCCUUGGUCCUCUCUCUUCUCUCAUUACAAGUGCGGCCUUACUCUUUUUAUUAAUGCCUCUACAGCAGUCUGCAGCCACAAAACUUUUGUGCUUCACCUUGUCAGCCCAAGUGCUUAUAACUUGUGGAGAUCUGGGGCUGUGGCCAGAGCCCGUAUCUGGAUGAAACCUUUCUGUCUCCUGCUCGGUCUGCGGGAGCUGCGGUGGUGCUGA